CCUACGGGAGGCAGCAGUGAGGAAUAUUGGUCAAUGGUCGGGAGACUGAACCAGCCAAGCCGCGUGAGGGAUGAAGGUACAGAGUAUCGUAAACCUCUUUUGUCAGGGAACAAAGGCGGGGACGUGUCCCCGGAUGAGUGUACCUGAAGAAAAAGCAUCGGCUAACUCCGUGCCAGCAGCCGCGGUAAUACGGAGGAUGCGAGCGUUAUCCGGAUUUAUUGGGUUUAAAGGGUGCGCGGGCGGUCUGUUAAGUCAGCGGUAAAAGCCCGGGGCUCAACCCCGGCCCGCCGCUGAAACUGGCAGUCUCGAGUUGGAGAGAAGUAUGCGGAAUGCGCGGUGUAGCGGUGAAAUGCAUAGAUAUCGCGCAGAACUCCGAUUGCGAAGGCAGCAUGCCGGCUCCACACUGACGCUGAGGCACGAAAGCGUGGGUAUCGAACAGGAUUAGAUACCCGUGUAGUC
rnacentral:rRNA from 1 species